rnacentral:rRNA from 1 species
CAAUAGCGUAUAUUUAAGUUGUUGCAGUUAAAAGCUCGUAGUUGGAUUUCGGGUUGGCUUCAGCGGUCUCGCUUUGCGUUUGUACUGCCGCAGCCUUCCUUCUUGCUGGGGACGGUCCUCCGGGCUUCAUUGCUUGGGGUCUGGAAUCAGCGACGUUACUUUGAGUAAAUUAGAGUGUUCAAAGCAAGCCUACGCUCUGAAUAUAAUAGCAUGGGAUAACACGACAGGACUCUGGCCUAUCGUGUUGGUCUGUAGGACCAGAGUAAUGAUUAAGAGGGACAGUCGGGGGCAUUCGUAUUCCGUUGUCAGAGGUGAAAUUCUUGGAUUUACGGAAGACGAACAUCUGCGAAAGCAUUUGCCAAGGAUGUUUUCAUUGA